rnacentral:tRNA from 1 species
GGUGGCUCAGUGGUAGAGUGCCUGCCUCACGUGCACGAGGCCCUGGGUUCGAUUCCUCAGUACCA